GUACACGCUGUGACUAGCAUAUCAAUAAGCGGAGGAAAAGAAACUAACAAGGAUUCCCCUAGUAACGGCGAGUGAAGCGGGAAGAGCUCAAAUUUGAAAUCUUAAAGGGUUUCCCUUUACGAAUUGUAGUUUAAAGAAGUGUUUUCUGUUGAGGUUUUGGUAAAAGUUCUUUGGAAUAGGACAUCAUAGAGGGUGAGAAUCCCGUAUUUGACCUUUACUUUCAACUUUGUGAUACACUUUCAAAGAGUCGGAUUGUUUGGGAAUGCAGUCCAAAAUGGGUGGUAAAUUUCAUCUAAAGCUAAAUAUUGGCGAGAGACCGAUAGCGAACAAGUACCGUGAGGGAAAGAUGAAAAGAACUUUGAGAAGAGAGUUAAACAGUACGUGAAAUUGUCAAAAGGGAAGCGUUUGACACCAGUGUUGUUUUUCUGAAAAUCAAUUAAAGAACUGUUUAUGCUAAGCUGUUUAGACUUUAUCAGCUGUCUGUUUAGUUUUGAGCUUUUCUUUAAUGCACUUUUCAGUUAACAAGUCAACAUCAAUUUCUUUUGCUGUAAAAAAGCUUGAGGAAGGUGGCUUGAGAUUCGUCUUAAGUGUUUAUAGCCUCUUGCCUAUGCAGUCGGAGAGAUUGAGGUCUGCAGCGUAGAUCCUUCGGGGCUAAAUGCAUUUGUGCUAAGUUAUAGCAUUUUAUAGACAACUUGUUGACUAUGAUUUGUCUUGUAGCUUACUCGCUUAUGUUAUUUUACCUACGCUUAGGAUGUUGAGUCGUAGAGCACGCAG
rnacentral:rRNA from 1 species